rnacentral:lncRNA from 1 species
AUCAAAUCACAACCUCCUCUUCUUCUCCUUCCUCACUCACCAUAUCUCUCGGGAGCCUCAGAUUUGUCUCAACUCUGCAAAAACUUCUCCGAAUUUGGCAUCGUCCCUCUCUCUCUCUCUCUCUCUCUCUCCCUACUCUCCUCUCGUCUUCCACAACCUCUCUCUCUCUCUCUGACUCUCUAAUUUGCAGGUAACAUCUCUCU